rnacentral:rRNA from 1 species
GAGUUUGAUCAUGGCUCAGAUUGAACGCUGGCGGCAUGCCUUACACAUACAAGUCGAACGGCAGCAUGAUCUAGCUUGCUAGAUUGAUGGCGAGUGGCGAACGGGUGAGUAAUACAUCGGAACGUGCCCUGUAGUGGGGAUAACUAGUCGAAAGAUUAGCUAAUACCGCAUACGACCUGAGGGUGAAAGUGGGGGACCGCAAGGCCUCAUGCUAUAGGAGCGGCCGAUGUCUGAUUAGCUAGUUGGUGGGGUAGAGGCCCACCAAGGCGACGAUCAGUAGCUGGUCUGAGAGGACGAUCAGCCACACUGGGACUGAGACACAGCCCAGACUCCUACGGGAGGCAGCAGUGGGGAAUUUUGGACAAUGGGCGAAAGCCUGAUCCAGCAAUGCCGCGUGUGUGAAGAAGGCCUCGGUUGU